AAACUCCAACCCUUUGUGAACCUACCUAUGUUUCCUCCGGCGUACCGCUUUAGCCUACCCACAGGGCUCCCCCAAGGGGGGGGGUUCUGCUGGGGAGGUGCCUGAGUGCUACCUAUCCUUCGGGGUACGGUUAGUGCAUUGAAGGUGCCGACCAAGGCCUCGGCGGCGCCGAGUAGGACCGCUCCAAACUUAAGCACCUAGUGCAUCCAACCCCGCGUUGAACAACUAUCGAAAAUUUGCUUUUGCAUUUGCUUUACUGCAUUUUUUCUUUACGCUAGAACGUCUUUCCCGGUUGGAAUUAUUGCUCGAGAUGCCCUAAAAGACUGAUCGUAAGCACUGUAGGAUGCGUGAAAUGUGUGAAAUGUCCCUCUCGUAGUGUCCUUUCCACAUCGCUCAAACGUGUUUCCCGGUUGGAAUUUUUGCUCGAAAUAAUAAUUUCUUUACCCUGUAGUCGUUUGUUUUCAAGCUCCAAUAUCUGCUCGAAUAAAAUUGCUUCAAUAUUUGCUCGAAAAUUGUUCAAAGCUCUGAGGGGUCUGAAUGAAUUCAUAAAAUUGGCAAAAGCCACCUAUAAACUACGGUUUUAGGGGGUGAUCAAACCGAGGUUUUAAAAACCAAAUACGUUAAAACUUUCAACAACGGAUCUCUUGGUUCUGGCAUCGAUGAAGAACGCAGCGAAAUGCGAUAAGUAAUGUGAAUUGCAGAAUUCAGUGAAUCAUCGAAUCUUUGAACGCACAUUGCGCCCAUUAGUAUUCUAGUGGGCAUGCCUAUUCGAGCGUCAUUACAACCCCUUAAGCCUUGUAGCUUAGCGUUGGGAAUCUACCCCUCACCUGAGGGGUAGUUCCUUAAAUUCAGUGGCGGAGUUAUAGCACACUCUAAGCGUAGUAGUUUAACUCGCUUUCAGGGAGGCUGUAGCUGCUUGCCGUAAAAACCCCCUAUAACUUAUAGUGGUUUGACCUCGGAUUAGGUA
rnacentral:rRNA from 1 species